CCCCUAUAGUUUGGAUUUUUGCUCAGGAUGAACGCUGGCGGCGUGCCUAAUACAUGCAAGUCGAACGCUUUGUGGUUCAACUGAUUUGAAGAGCUUGCUCAGAUAUGACGAUGGACAUUGCAAAGAGUGGCGAACGGGUGAGUAACACGUGGGAAACCUACCUCUUAGCAGGGGAUAACAUUUGGAAACAGAUGCUAAUACCGUAUAACAAUAGCAACCGCAUGGUUGCUACUUAAAAGAUGGUUCUGCUAUCACUAAGAGAUGGUCCCGCGGUGCAUUAGUUAGUUGGUGAGGUAAUGGCUCACCAAGACGAUGAUGCAUAGCCGAGUUGAGAGACUGAUCGGCCACAAUGGGACUGAGACACGGCCCAUACUCCUACGGGAGGCAGCAGUAGGGAAUCUUCCACAAUGGGCGAAAGCCUGAUGGAGCAACGCCGCGUGUGUGAUGAAGGGUUUCGGCUCGUAAAACACUGUUGUAAGAGAAGAAUGACAUUGAGAGUAACUGUUCAAUGUGUGACGGUAUCUUACCAGAAAGGAACGGCUAAAUACGUGCCAGCAGCCGCGGUAAUACGUAUGUUCCAAGCGUUAUCCGGAUUUAUUGGGCGUAAAGCGAGCGCAGACGGUUAUUUAAGUCUGAAGUGAAAGCCCUCAGCUCAACUGAGGAAUUGCUUUGGAAACUGGAUGACUUGAGUGCAGUAGAGGAAAGUGGAACUCCAUGUGUAGCGGUGAAAUGCGUAGAUAUAUGGAAGAACACCAGUGGCGAAGGCGGCUUUCUGGACUGUAACUGACGUUGAGGCUCGAAAGUGUGGGUAGCAAACAGGAUUAGAUACCCUGGUAGUCCACACCGUAAACGAUGAGUGCUAGGUGUUUGAGGGUUUCCGCCCUUAAGUGCCGCAGCUAACGCAUAAGCACUCCGCCUGGAGACCUCUUG
rnacentral:rRNA from 1 species